rnacentral:rRNA from 1 species
GAGAGAGACUGCCUUCUCUCAGGCCAGCAGUCUUAUACUUAUAGUCGACUGCUCUAUGACGAUCUGACCUCUUUCUUGUCGCCCUGUCCUUCGAGCUGCCGCCCUUCUCUUUGGAGCUAG